rnacentral:pre_miRNA from 1 species
UUUUUAGUAUAAGUUUAUCCCAUGCAGUAUUUGAGAUGUACUUAUAGUAUAA